CCUACGGGUGGCAGCAGUAGGGAAUAUUGCUCAAUGGGGGAAACCCUGAAGCAGCAACGCCGCGUGGAGGAUGAAGGUUUUCGGAUGGUAAACUCCUUUUGUUAGAGAAGAGAAUGACGGUAUCUAACGAAUAAGCACCGGCUAACUCCGUGCCAGCAGCCGCGGUCAUACGGAGGGUGCAAGCGUUACUCGGAAUCACUGGGCGUAAAGAGCGCGUAGGCGGGAUGGCAAGUCAGAUGUGAAAUCCUAUGGCUUAACCAUAGAACUGCAUUUGAAACUGUUAUUCUAGAGUAUGGGAGAGGUAGGUGGAAUUCUUGUUGUAGAGGUGAAAUCCGUAGAGAUCACGAGGAAUACUCAUUGCGAAGGCGACCUGCUAGAACAUAACUGACGCUGAUGCGCGAAAGCGUGGGGAGCAAACAGGAUUAGAUACCCGAGUAGUC
rnacentral:rRNA from 1 species